GGGGAUGCAAGGCAUAGACAGUUGGCCUUUUGUUAUUGAUGCAUACCGAGAAUGGACGUAAUCUCGUAAAAAUUCGUCCAAACGUUAAUUGCAAAAUUGACCAAAGCGGUAAAGUCUCAAUACUUCGGUACGAAGGACUUUGCUUUCGCUCUAGCCUAACUUCGGUCGGGCUAGUGUCUCUCUUAUAGACUUCCGAUAUAUAGGUUGAGGCAUAAUAUUAUCGGGAUAGUUUUGGUGACUGCUUUGACACUAGAGCAAAACAAAGAAGCUCGAUUAAAAAAUAUUUUGCGUGUUUCUUAAUUUUUUAAUUUAAACCAAAAAUACGCUAUGUAUGUAGACUUCUUUAGCAACAACCUUCUGCACACGAGUUCAAUUCUCGUCAUCUCCACAA
rnacentral:tmRNA from 1 species